rnacentral:lncRNA from 1 species
GCCCACUGGUCUUAUCCCGGGGCUCCUGAAGCUCAGCAGCACACUGGAGCCAGAGCCGGAGAGGGCCAGAGGGCAGAGGGAGACCAUAUCUGACCUUGCCUUGGGGGGGAGCACUUACCACUUGGAGUCACUGCUGGUGACCGCCAACCGGAGCAGCCUAUGCCAGGCUCAGGAGGGC